GUCCACGCCCUAAACGAUGUCAACUGGGUGUUGGGGAGCGAUUCCUCAGUACCGUAGCUAACGCGUGAAGUUGACCGCCUGGGGAGUACGGCCGCAAGGUUAAAACUCAAAGGAAUUGACGGGGACCCGCACAAGCGGUGGAUGAUGUGGAUUAAUUCGAUGCAACGCGAACAACCUUACCUACCCCUUGACAUGUCCGGAACCCCACUGAGAGGUGGGGGUGCCCGAAAGGGAAUCGGAACACAGGUGCUGCAUGGCUGUCGU
rnacentral:rRNA from 1 species